GGAUAAUUUGCACCCUGAUGCUACAAUUUGGACACAAGACUAGAAACUGGGACCAACACGUGUGAGAAUGUCUUCAUUGUAUAGAAUUGCUUUGUAUAGCUUCUCGUCGGUGGCCAUUUUGUUUUGUUUCAAAACACUUUUAUUGUCAUGUACAAAUUAUAUAUACAAGCAAGAGAGUCAUAAUUAUUGCUUUGCACUUUGUAG